UACAGAGGUGGCAAGCGUUGUUCGGAAUUACUGGGCGUAAAGGGCGCGUAGGCGGUCUUGUAAGUCUUGUGUGAAAUCCCUCGGCUUAACUGAGGAACUGCACGGGAUACUGCAUGACUUGAGAUCGGGAGAGGGAAGCGGAAUUCCGGGUGUAGCGGUGAAAUGUGUUGAUAUUGGAAGGAACACCGGAGGCGAAAGCGGUGUACUGGGGCUGGUCUGACGCUGAGGCACGAAAGCCAGGGGAGCGAACGGG
rnacentral:rRNA from 1 species